UACGGGAGGCAGCAGUGGGGAAUAUUGCACAAUGGGCGCAAGCCUGAUGCAGCCAUGCCGCGUGUAUGAAGAAGGCCUUCGGGUUGUAAAGUACUUUUCAGCGGGGAGGAAGGCGGUGAAGUUAAUAGCUUCACCGAUUGACGUUACCCGCAGAAGAAGCACCGGCUAACUCCGUGCCAGCAGCCGCGGUAAUACGGAGGGUGCAAGCGUUAAUCGGAAUUACUGGGCGUAAAGCGCACGCAGGCGGUCUGUCAAGUCGGAUGUGAAAUCCCCGGGCUUAACCUGGGAACUGCAUUCGAAACUGGCAGGCUAGAGUCUUGUAGAGGGGGUAGAAUUCCAGGUGUAGCGGUGAAAUGCGUAGAGAUCUGGAGGAAUACCGGUGGCGAAGGCGGCCCCUGGGACAAAGACUGACGCUCAGGGUGCGAAAGCGUGGGGAGCAAACAGGGAUUAGGAU
rnacentral:rRNA from 1 species